rnacentral:rRNA from 1 species
AGAGUUUGAUCCUGGCUCAGGACGAACGCUGGCGGCGUGCCUAAUACAUGCAAGUCGAACGGAGAUAUUCGCUGAUGAAGUACUUCGGUAAUGAAUCUUGGAUAUCUUAGUGGCGGACGGGUGAGUAACGCGUGAGCAACCUGCCUUUCAGAGGGGGAUAACGUUUGGAAACGAACGCUAAUACCGCAUGACAUUAUCUUAUCGCAUGGUAGGAUAAUCAAAGGAGCAAUCCGCUGAAAGAUGGGCUCGCGUCCGAUUAGGUAGUUGGUGGGGUAACGGCCCACCAAGCCGACGAUCGGUAGCCGGACUGAGAGGUUGGGCGGCCACAUUGGGACUGAGACACGGCCCAGACUCCUACGGGAGGCAGCAGUAAGGGAUAUUGGUCAAUGGGGGAAACCCUGAACCAGCAACGCCGCGUGAGGGAAGACGGUUUUCGGAUUGUAAACCUCUGUCCUCUGUGAAGAUGAUGACGGUAGCAGAGGAGGAAGCUCCGGCUAACUACGUG